AACACGUGGGUAACCUACCUAUAAGACUGGGACAACUUCGGGAAACCGGAGCUAAUACCGGAUAAGAUAUCGAACCGCAUGGUUCGAUAGUGAAAGAUGGUUUUGCUAUCACUUAUAGAUGGACCCGCGCCGUAUUAGCUAGUUGGUGAGGUAACGGCUCACCAAGGCAACGAUACGUAGCCGACCUGAGAGGGUGAUCGGCCACACUGGAACUGAGACACGGUCCAGACUCCUACGGGAGGCAGCAGC
rnacentral:rRNA from 1 species